rnacentral:rRNA from 1 species
ACGAACGCUGGCGGCGUGCCUAAUACAUGCAAGUUGAGCGCUGAAGAUUGGUGCUUGCCCCAAUUUGAAGAGCAGCGAACGGGUGAGUAACGCGUGGGGAAUCUGCCUUUGAGCGGGGGACAACAUUUGGAAACGAAUGCUAAUACCGCAUAACAACUUUAAACAUAAGUUUUAAGUUUGAAAGAUGCAAUUGCAUCACUCAAAGAUGAUCCCGCGUUGUAUUAGCUAGUUGGUGAGGUAAAGGCUCACCAAGGCGAUGAUACAUAGCCGACCUGAGAGGGUGAUCGGCCACAUUGGGACUGAGACACGGCCCAAACUCCUACGGGAGGCAGCAGUAGGGAAUCUUCGGCAAUGGACGAAAGUCUGACCGAGCAACGCCGCGUGAGUGAAGAAGGUUUUCGGAUCGUAAAACUCUGUUGGUAGAGAAGAACGUUGGUGAGAGUGGAAAGCUCAUCAAGUGACGGUAACUACCCAGAAAGGGACGGCUAACUACGUG